rnacentral:rRNA from 1 species
GCAGCUGAUCAGCCAUGCCGCGUGUGUGAUGAAGGCCUUCGGGUUGUAAAGCUCUUUCGUGAGGAAGAUAGCCUUGGGGUUAAUACCCUCAACGGAGGACAUCUCUCACAGAACAAGCACCGGCUUCUCCGUGCCAGCAGCCGCGGUAAU